UACGUAGGGGGCAAGCGUUGUCCGGAUUUAUUGGGCGUAAAGAGCGUGUAGGCGGCCAGGUAGGUGGGUUGUGAAAACUGGAGGCUCAACCUUCAGAGGUCGACCCAAACCCCCCUCGGCUAGAGUCCGGAAGAGGAGAGUGGAAUUCCUGGUGUAGCGGUGGAAUGCGUAGAGAUCCCCAAGAACACCAGUUGCGAAGGCGGCUGACUGGACACAUAUUGACGCUGAGGCUCGAAAGCAUGGGGAGCAAACAGG
rnacentral:rRNA from 1 species